rnacentral:rRNA from 1 species
AUUGAACGCUGGCGGCAGGCCUAACACAUGCCAGUCGAACGAGUGGCGGACGGGUGAGUAAUGUCUGGGAAAACGCCUGAUGGAGGGGGAUAACUACUGGAAACGGUAGCUAAUACCGCAUACCAUAGGAUGUGCCCAAAUGGGAUUAGCUAGUAGGUGGGGUAAAGGCUAACAUAGGCGAAGGUCCCUAGCUGGUCUGCGAGGAUGACCAGGCAUACUGGAACUGCGACACGGUCCAGACUCACACGGUAGUCAGCAGUGGCGAUUAUUGCAAAAUGGGGGGAAACCUCAUGCAGCCUUGCCGCGUGUAGGAAGAAGUCCUUCGGGUUGUAAAGUACUUGAAGCGGAGAGUCGUGACCCACAGAAGAAGCAACGGCUAACUCCGUGCCAGCCGCGGCGGUAAUAC